rnacentral:rRNA from 1 species
AUUGAACGCUGGCGGCAGGCCUAACACAUGCAAGUCGAGCGAGCGGCGGACGGGUGAGUAAGGAAUGGGAAACUGCCUGAUGGAGGGGGAUAACAACUGGAAACGGUAGCUAAUACCGCAUACCAUCAGAUGUGCCCAGAUGGGAUUAGCUAGUAGGUGGGGUAAUGGCUCACCUAGGCGACGAUCCCUAGCUGGUCUGAGAGGAUGACCAGCCACACUGUAACGGAGACACGGCCCAGACUCCUACGUGAGGCAGCAUUGGGGAAUAUUGCACAAUUGGCGCAAGCCUGAUGCAGCCAUGCCGCGUGUGUGAAGGAGGCCUUCGGGUUGUAAAGCACUUUCAGCGGGGAGGCGUUACCCGCAGAAGAAGCACCGGCUAACUCCGUGCCAGCAGCCGCGGUAAUAC